rnacentral:tmRNA from 1 species
GGCCUUCAUUUUUUAACGCCCGCGCCCUAUAUAGAAGGAGCCGGCUUGCCGGCUAUGGCGAUAAACGCGGCGUGCAAUAGGCAUUCGGACCCGGGGGCGGUACCCGGCGGCUCCACCAACUGGCCGUGGCCCAUGCGGGCGGCGGCCAUCUGAUGGGGCCGAAACAGGAUCGACGUGUGCUGAAAGACGUUUGCUUUCGCCCGGCAUGACACCGCCGUUAAUGGGUCGUUUUGACAAAUGCCAACGAUAAUGAGGCAUUCGCUCUCGCGGCUUAAUCGACGCCCAAUGGCUUAGAUUAAGGAAGCUAUGAGCGCGGCUCGGAGGGCGCCGGGCAACAGAAGCCCUCCACU